rnacentral:rRNA from 1 species
UUGACGGAGAGUUUGAUCCUGGCUCAGGAUAAACGCUGGCGGCGUGCCUAACACAUGCAAGUCGAACGAAGAGGCCCCUUCGGGGGUACUUCAGUGGCGGACGGGUGAGUAACACGUAGGUGACCUACCCCAAAGCGGGGAAUAACAGUCCGAAAGGAUUGCUAAUACCCCAUGUGGUCAAUGAGUCUAGAUGCUUGUUGACUAAAGGAGCAAUCCGUUUUGGGAGGGGCCUGCGCCCCAUCAGCUAGUUGGUAGGGUAAUGGCCUACCAAGGCUACAACGGGUAGGGGGCCUGAGAGGGUGACCCCCCACAUUGGCACUGACACACGGGCCAAACUCCUACGGGAGGCAGCAGUGAGGAAUAUUGCUCAAUGGGCGAAAGCCUGAAGCAGCAACGCCGCGUGCGCGAUGAAGGUCUUCGGAUCGUAAAGCGCUUUUGAGAGGGACGAGAUAGGACGGUACCUCUUGAAUAAGUCACGGCUAACUACGUGCCAGCAGCCGCGGUAAAACGUAGGUGGCAAGCGUUAUCCGGAUUCACUGGGCGUAAAGCGAGUGCAGGUGGUUGUGUAAGUUGGAUGUGAAAUUUCCCAGCCUAACUGGGAAGGGUCAUUCAAUACUGCGCGACUUGAGGGCAGAAGAGGGGGGUGGAAUUGCCGGUGUAGUGGUGAAAUGCGUAGAUAUCGGCAGGAACACCUGUGGCGAAAGCGGCCCCCUGGUCUGAUCCUGACACUCAGACUCGAAAGCUAGGGUAGCGAACGGGAUUAGAAACCCCGGUAGUCCUAGCCGUAAACGAUGGAUGCUAGGUGUGGGUGGUAUUGACCCCAUCCGUGCCGAAGCUAACGCGUUAAGCAUCCCGCCUGGGGACUACGGCCGCAAGGUUAAAACUCAAAGGAAUUGACGGGGACCCGCACAAGCAGCGGAGCGUGUGGUUUAAUUCGAUGCUACACGAAGAACCUUACCCAGGUUUGACAUACAGGUAGUAGUGAAGCGAAAGCAGAACGACUCGCAAGAGAGCCUGCACAGGUGCUGCAUGGCUGUCGUCAGCUCGUGCCGUGAGGUGUUUGGUUAAGUCCACUAACGAGCGCAACCCCUGUCGUCAGUUACAAGUGUCUGACGAGACUGCCGGUCUUAAACCGGAGGAAGGUGGGGAUGACGUCAAGUCAGCAUGGCCUUUAUAUCUGGGGCUACACACACGCUACAAUGGCCGGUACAAUGGGUCGCCAACCCGCGAGGGGGAGCUAAUCCUGUAAAACCGGUCUCAGUUCGGAUUGUAGGCUGCAACCCGCCUGCAUGAAGCCGGAGUUGCUAGUAAACGCGCGUCAGCUAUAGUGCGUUGAAUACGUUCCCGGGUCUUGUACACACCGCCCGUCACGUCAUGGGAGCUGGUAACACCUGAAGCCGGUACGCUAACCGCAAGGAGGCAGCCGUCGAGGGUGGGACUGGUGACUGGGACGAAGUCGUAACAAGGUAGCUGUAGCGGAAGCUGCGGCUGGAUCACCUCCUUU